UCGGGAAUUUUGGGCAAUGGGGGCAACCCUGAUCCAGCAAUGCCGCGUGAGUGAAGAAGGCCUUCGGGUUGUAAAGCUCUUUUGUCAGGGAAGAAACGGUAGUAGCGAAUAACUAUUACUAAUGACGGUACCUGAAGAAUAAGCACCGGCUAACUACGUGCCAGCAGCCGCGGUAAUACGUAGGGUGCAAGCGUUAAUCGGAAUUACUGGGCGUAAAGCGUGCGCAGGCGGUUGUGUAAGUCAGAUGUGAAAUCCCCGGGCUCAACCUGGGAAUUGCAUUUGAGACUGCACGGCUAGAGUGUGUCAGAGGGGGGUAGAAUUCCACGUGUAGCAGUGAAAUGCGUAGAUAUGUGGAGGAAUACCGAUGGCGAAGGCAGCCCCCUGGGAUAACACUGACGCUCAUGCACGAAAGCGUGGGGAGCAAACAGGAUUAGAUACCCCCGUAGUCCCUGAGCGGGCUGGCAAGGCGCAU
rnacentral:rRNA from 1 species